rnacentral:rRNA from 1 species
CACCCAAUCUCGUCUGAUCUUGGAAG